UAUCGUCACGUGAAAUGCAAAAAGUCGUAAGCAAUAAAAAAUUCAAAGUUCAAUUUUUGAUUGAUAUUAUGGAUUUGAUCGAAUUGCAACUCCCCACAUCGUUUUAUGCAAAAAUAUUAUUACUCACGACUUUUUCUAUUUAAGCGAUGAUGUUUGUUACGCCUUUUUAUCUUUUGUUUACUAUACUUAAUUACAGGAACAAGCAAUAUAGUAAGUGGACCUCGUACCGACACUGACCCGGUGACUGAAGCCUUAAAACGACUGGAAGAACAAAAUCGGUACCUUUUGCAACUGGCCUCAAAGCAAAGCGUUCUUUUGGAAGAGGUUUUAAAAGUGCUCAAACCAAAAAACAGGACUUAGGAGUUUUCCCCUUGGAUUCCGUUGAAGACCUGGAAGCUGCUGAGACUUUAAUUUUAAGUAAAAACGAGCAGGAAGUUAUUACUUAUCUAAGAAGCAAGUUCGGAAGAAGGCCAAUUUUUAAAUUUAUCGACGAGAUUUUUGGAGACGAGUUAAUUUUAAAAAUCAACUGGGAUGGCGCAAAAAAUAAGGUGGCAAUUAAUAACUAUAAGCUUUUUAAUACGUUCUUUUUUGAUGCUUUGAAGGAGGAAAUCUUAACUUACGAGGCCUAUGAAGCAAAUUUUAAGCAAGCCUUCCACAAACGCAAAGCUUACUUUUAUAGAAAAACUUAUAAAUUAAAAAAAGUAGAUAUUUGUUAUAAUGUUAGUUUGAUCGAAUUUUUUACUGUUGAUACCACAGGCCAGCGAUAUUUAAAUCCCCCCCCCUUCCAAUAAUUAUGUAAUUUUUUAAUAUCUAGGUAUCUUUG